CGUCGUUGCUGCACCGCCGACCCCGCCGUCGCCGGAUUCGGGACCCCACACCCGAAUCCACCCAUCCCCGACCUCCUCCGACCGUUCCGGCCUCCCCGACGCUCGCCGGAGCCCGAGCGCGGCCGUGACCACGACCUCGUCCGCCUCCCCCCAGGACGCCCCGAGCCCUCCAACCAAACGCCCGGGCCGCGCUGUACAGCUCCAUCCGGAUCCCCUUGUCCCGUUUCGCCAGGUUACCUACUCGAGGACGAGCAGAAAUCACAAAAAAGGAAGCUCUUUGGCAAGUACAGCACUGGACUCUUAACACAAAUCAUUUUCAAGCUGUGCUAGGCAUACCCAAAUAAGUAAGUGUGUCAAUGUCAUCUAAUAUUUCGACGCAGAUGCUUUGCAGCAUUUCGUUGAGAACUAUGUUGUCAUAUCUCGAGGCAUUUGUCACUAGGCAGUGUGAAAUGACUCCUGAGUCCUUUUCCUCAAUGGAUGAAUCAUAUCUCUAUUUAUUUUAUCUAAAAAGACUUAAAAUUUCGUAUUUCACCAACUAACAUUUCACUCAUCACCUUGAUCCAACCCCCCCACCAAGUACGUCCACUCCUCCCCCUCUUGUUUGAAAUUUUUUCAUCUCACCUAUAAUUUCCGCCCACGAGUUUUCGUUGAAUACAACACGCAUGCUAUUUUACACAGGGUGCGGAACUCAUUUUUUGAUGAAAAAUUGCAAGGGCUCGAAGCAUUUACAUUUGCAAUGAGGGAAUAAAAUAAGACUUGAAGCAUUUAUAUACAAAACCUGUAUUCGUCAUGAUGGCUGCAAUGAUAUUGUAUGUUGUUCGAUAAGAUAAUUUUUUUAUUCCCCUUUCAUGCUUGGUCUUCGCUUCAGCGGUUGGAGGACCCGGAGAUGGUUAAGAAGUAUGCACAAAUAGAAUGGUGACCAGAGAGUUUCUUGACAUUAGUGUUUGUCCCCUUAUUUUUGUUUUUCUAGAUCUUUGUGUUGAGUAUAUUGAUUAUUAGAAAAGACGAGAUAGUUUAGUAUUUGUUCCGGCUUGUCUUGUACUUCAAAUUGAUUAUUGUACUCCUAUAUAUGUGCCCACGAGGCUCAAGCAAUACAACAAUGAUUCCAACAA